rnacentral:rRNA from 1 species
AUUGAACGCUGGCGGCAGGCCUAACACAUGCAAGUCGAACGAGUGGCGGACGGGUGAGUAAUGUCUGGGAAACUGCCCGAUGGAGGGGGAUAACUACUGGAAACGGUAGCUAAUACCGCAUACCAUGGGAUGGGCCCAGAUGGGAUUAGCUAGUAGGUGGGGUAACGGCUAACCUAGGCGACGAUCCCUAGCUGGUCUGAGAGGAUGACCAGCCACACUGGAUCUGAGACACGGUCCAGACUCCUACGGGAGGCAGCAGUGGGGAAUAUUGCACAAUGGGCGCAAGCCUGAUACAGCCAUGCCGCGUGUAUGAAGAAGGCCUUCGGGUUGUAAAGUACUUUCAGCGAGGAGGCGUUACUCGCAGAAGAAGCACCGGCUAACUCCGUGCCAGCAGCCGCGGUAAUUC